rnacentral:rRNA from 1 species
UGAUUAGAAGCUUGCUUCUAUGACGUUAGCGGCGGACGGGUGAGUAACACGUGGGCAACCUGCCUGUAAGACUGGGAUAACUUCGGGAAACCGAAGCUAAUACCGGAUAGGAUCUUCUCCUUCAUGGGAGAUGAUUGAAAGAUGGUUUCGGCUAUCACUUACAGAUGGGCCCGCGGUGCAUUAGCUAGUUGGUGAGGUAACGGCUCACCAAGGCAACGAUGCAUAGCCGACCUGAGAGGGUGAUCGGCCACACUGGGACUGAGACACGGCCCAGACUCCUACGGGAGGCAGCAGUAGGGAAUCUUCCGCAAUGGACGAAAGUCUGACGGAGCAACGCCGCGUGAGUGAUGAAGGCUUUCGGGUCGUAAAACUCUGUUGUUAGGGAAGAACAAGUACGAGAGUAACUGCUCGUACCUUGACGGUACCUAACCAGAAAGCCACGGCUAACUACGUGCCAGCAGCCGCGGUAAUACGUAGGUGGCAAGCGUUAUCCGGAAUUAUUGGGCGUAAAGCGCGCGCAGGCGGUUUCUUAAGUCUGAUGUGAAAGCCCACGGCUCAACCGUGGAGGGUCAUUGGAAACUGGGGAACUUGAG